rnacentral:rRNA from 1 species
GGACAGAAAGACCCUAUGAAGCUUUACUGUAGCCUGGAAUUGAAUUUGGGUUUAAUUUGCGCAGUAUAGGUGGGAGGCAAAGAAUAUACAUUUGCGGAUUUAUAUGAGCCAUCAGUGAGAUACCACUCUGAUUAAGCUAGAAUUCUAAUAUUGAUCGCCAUAAGCUGGCCAAUAGACAGUUUCAGGUGGGCAGUUUGACUGGGGCGGUCGCCUCCUAAAAGGUAACGGAGGCGUGCAAAGGUUUCCUCAGGCUGGUCAGAAAUCAGUCGUAGAGUAUAAAGGCAUAAGGAAGCUUGACUGCAAGACUUACAAGUCGAGCAGAGACGAAAGUCGGCCUUAGUGAUCCGACAGUACUGAGUGGAAAGGCUGUCGCUCAACGGAUAAAAGUUACCUCUAGGGAUAACAGGCUGA